rnacentral:rRNA from 1 species
AUACGUAGGGAGCGAGCGUUGUCCGGAAUUACUGGGUGUAAAGGGAGCGUAGGCGGGAGUGCAAGUCAGAUGUGAAAUACAUGGGCUCAACCCAUGGGCUGCAUUUGAAACUGCAUUUCUUGAGUGAAGUAGAGGUAAGCGGAAUUCCUGGUGUAGCGGUGAAAUGCGUAGAUAUCAGGAGGAACACCGGUGGCGAAGGCGGCUUACUGGGCUUUUACUGACGCUGAGGCUCGAAAGCGUGGAGAGCAAACAGGAUUAGAUACCCUGGUAGUCCACGCUGUAAACGAUGAUUACUAGGUGUGGGGGGACUGACCCCUUCCGUGCCGCAGUUAACACAAUAAGUAAUCCACCUGGGGAGUACGGCCGCAAGGUUGAAACUCAAAUGAAUUGACGGGG